rnacentral:rRNA from 1 species
GACGAACGCUGGCGGCGUGCCUAAUACAUGCAAGUCGAGCGCAGGAAACUGACGGAACUCUUCGGAGGGAAGGCAGCGGAAUGAGCGGCGGACGGGUGAGUAACACGUAAGGAACCUGCCUCAAGGAUUGGGAUAACUCCGAGAAAUCGGAGCUAAUACCGGAUAGUUCAUCGGACCGCAUGGUCCGUUGAUGAAAGGCGCUCCGGCGUCACCUUGAGAUGGCCUUGCGGUGCAUUAGCUAGUUGGUGGGGUAACGGCCCACCAAGGCGACGGUGCAGACCCGACGUGGGAGGGGUAUCGGCCACACUGGGACUCAGACACGGCCCAGACUCCUACGGGAGGCAGCAGUAGGGAAUCUUCCACAAUGGACGAAAGUCUUAUGGAGCAACGCCGCGUGAGUGAUGAAGGUUUUCAGAUCGUAAAACUCUGUUGUAAGGGAAGAACACGUACGAGAGGAAAUGCUCGUACCUUGACGGUACCUUACGAGAAAGCCACGGCUAACUACGUGCCAGCCGCCGCCGUAA